rnacentral:rRNA from 1 species
UGGGGAAUCUUGGACAAUGGGGGAAACCCUGAUCCAGCCAUGCCGCGUGAGUGAUGAAGGCCUUAGGGUUGUAAAGCUCUUUCAGCGGGGAAGAUAAUGACAUUACCCGCAGAAGAAGCCCCGGCUAACUUCGUGCCAGCAGCCGCGGUAAUACGAAGGGGGCUAGCGUUGCUCGGAAUUACUGGGCGUAAAGCGCGCGCAGGUGGCCUGUUAAGUUGGGGGUGAAAGCCCGGAGCUCAACUCCGGAAUUGCCUUCAAGACUGGCAGGCUAGAGUACGGCAGAGGAGAGUGGAAUUCCCAGUGUAGAGGUGAAAUUCGUAGAUAUUGGGAAGAACACCAGUGGCGAAGGCGGCUCUCUGGUCCGUUACUGACACUGAGGCGCGAAAGCGUGGGGAGCAAACAG